AGAGUUUGAUUCUGGCUCAGAACGAACGCUGGCGGCGUGGAUAAGACAUGCAAGUCGUACGAGGAACCAUUGAAGCUUGCUUUAUAGGUUUCCUAGUGGCGCACGGGUGAGUAACACGUGAGUUACAUGCCCUGAAGUGGGGGAUAGCCCGGGGAAACCCGGAUUAAUACCCCAUGGUCCCGCAAGGGUAAAGAUGGCUUCGGCUGUCGCUUCAGGAUUGGCUCGCGGCCUAUCAGCUUGUUGGAGGGGUAACGGCCCACCAAGGCAACGACGGGUAGCUGGUCUGAGAGGACGAUCAGUCACACUGGAACUGAGACACGGUCCAGACACCUACGGGUGGCAGCAGUCGAGAAUCAUUCACGAUGGGGGAAACCCUGAUGGUGCAACGCCGCGUGGAGGAUGACGGUCUCCGGAUUGUAAACUCCUGUCAUCUGGGAGUAAGACCUGGGGGUUAAUAGCCCACAGGGUUGAUAGUACCAGAAGAGGAAGGGACGGCUAACUUCGUGCCAGCAGCCGCGGUAAUACGAAGGUCCCAAGCGUUGUUCGGAAUCACUGGGCGUAAAGGGUGCGUAGGUGGCAUGGUAAGUCAGAUGUGAAAUCCCGGGGCUCAACCCCGGAACUGCAUCCGAUACUGCCGUGCUUGAGGACUGGAGAGGAGACUGGAAUUCUCGGUGUAGCAGUGAAAUGCGUAGAGAUCGAGAGGAACACUCGUGGCGAAAGCGAGUCUCUGGACAGUUCCUGACGCUGAGGCACGAAGGCCAGGGUAGCGAAAGGGAUUAGAUACCCCUGUAGUCCUGGCAGUAAACGGUGCGCGCUUGGUGUGGGAGGAUUCGACCCCUUCCGUGCCGGAGCUAACGCGUUAAGCGCGCCGCCUGGGGAGUACGGUCGCAAGACUAAAACUCAAAGAAAUUGACGGGGACCCGCACAAGCGGUGGAGUAUGUGGCUUAAUUCGAUGCAACGCGAAGAACCUUACCUGGGCUUGACAUGCAUCUCUAAGCACGUGAAAGCGUGUGACCCUUCGGGGAAUUUGCACAGGUGCUGCAUGGCCGUCGUCAGCUCGUGUCGUGAGAUGUUGGGUUAAGUCCCGCAACGAGCGCAACCCCUGUGAUUAGUUGCCAGCACGUAAUGGUGGGAACUCUAAUCAGACUGCCCAGAUCAACUGGGAGGAAGGUGGGGACGACGUCAGGUCAGUAUGGCCCUUACGCUCAGGGCUGCACACGUACUACAAUGCCCAGUACAAUGAGAACCGAUACCGCGAGGUGGAGGAAAUCUGCAAAACUGGGCCCAGU
rnacentral:rRNA from 1 species